rnacentral:rRNA from 1 species
UACAGAGGUCCCAAGCGUUGUUCGGAUUCACUGGGCGUAAAGGGUGCGUAGGCGGUCGGGUAAGUCUGAUGUGAAAUCUCACAGCUUAACUGUGAAACUGCAUUGGAUACUAUCCGGCUCGAGGAAUGGAGGGGAGACUGGAAUUCUCGGUGUAGCAGUGAAAUGCGUAGAUAUCGAGAGGAACACCAGUGGCGAAGGCGAGUCCCUGGACAGGUCCUGACGCUGAGGCACGAAAGCUAGGGGAGCAAACAGG